GCUUGGGGUGGGGACUGCCCUACUACAGAGACGUCUAACAACUUUUUCUGCAGAGGAAGCCACGCCCCGGAAGCUCUGCUGGGCAUGCUCCAGCUGGAGAACAGGUAUAAAAGCCUGCAGAACAGCUCAUUCUGGGCUGACCGCUGGAGAAGAAGGAGGCACGCUGCUAGCUCCUGAGGAGGGAGAGCCUGCGCACCAGGAUCCAGAGGCCAGCCAAGCCGGGACACUCCCUGAUACCCCGAUGGAGGACGUCACAGGAGGAGAAUAGACCGGAGGACCCCCCGCAGCAGAGAACCUGGCAUUUAUGCUUCGGCUCUUUCCCGGACUGCCCCGGCAUCCCCCUCGCAGAGGCUGGCGCAGAU